rnacentral:rRNA from 1 species
ACAUGCAAGUCGAGCGGAGAAGGGAGCUUGCUCCUGGAUUCAGCGGCGGACGGGUGAGUAAUGCCUAGGAAUCUGCCUGGUAGUGGGGGAUAACGUCCGGAAACGGGCGCUAAUACCGCAUACGUCCUGAGGGAGAAAGUGGGGGAUCUUCGGACCUCACGCUAUCAGAUGAGCCUAGGUCGGAUUAGCUAGUUGGUGGGGUAAAGGCCUACCAAGGCGACGAUCCGUAACUGGUCUGAGAGGAUGAUCAGUCACACUGGAACUGAGACACGGUCCAGACUCCUACGGGAGGCAGCAGUGGGGAAUAUUGGACAAUGGGCGAAAGCCUGAUCCAGCCAUGCCGCGUGUGUGAAGAAGGUCUUCGGAUUGUAAAGCACUUUAAGUUGGGAGGAAGGGCAGUAAGUUAAUACCUUGCUGUUUUGACGUUACCAACAGAAUAAGCACCGGCUAACUUCGUGCCAGCAGCCGCGGUAAUACGAAGGGUGCAAGCGUUAAUCCGGAAUUACUGGGCGUAAAGCGCGCGUAGGUGGUUCAGCAAGUUGGAUGUGAAAAUCCC